UACGUAGGGUGCAAGCGUUAAUCGGAAUUACUGGGCGUAAAGCGUGCGCAGGCGGUGAUGUAAGACAGAUGUGAAAUCCCCGGGCUUAACCUGGGAAUUGCGAUGGAGACUGCAAGGCUAGAAUCUGGCAGAGGGGGGUAGAAUUCCACGUGUAGCAGUGAAAUGCGUAGAGAUGUGGAGGAACACCGAUGGCGAAGGCAGCCCCCUGGGUCAAGAUUGACGCUCAUGCACGAAAGCGUGGGGAGCAAACAGG
rnacentral:rRNA from 1 species